rnacentral:rRNA from 1 species
UACGAAGGGGGCUAGCGUUGUUCGGAAUUACUGGGCGUAAAGCGAGUGUAGGCGGUUCGAUAAGUCGGAUGUGAAAGCCCCGGGCUCAACCCGGGAAGUGCACUCGAUACUGUCGAGCUAGAGUAUCGGAGAGGUUGGUGGAAUUCUCGGUGUAGAGGUGAAAUUCGUAGAUAUCGAGAGGAACACCGGUGGCGAAGGCGGGUUGCUGGGCUGAUACUGACGCUGAGGCGCGAAAGCCAGGGGAGCGAACGGG